rnacentral:rRNA from 11 species
UGAAACAUCUAAGUACCCGGAGGAAAGGACAUCAAACGAGACUCCGUUAGUAGUGGCGAGCGAACGCGGACCAGGCCUGGUCUGAAAUAAGGAGAAGUAUCUGGGAAGGUACGCCGUAGUGGGUGAUAGCCCCGUAUCCGUAAAAUGAAGACCUUUUAGAGUAGGGCGGGACACGUGAAAUCCUGUCUGAACAUGGGGGGACCACCCUCCAAGCCUAAGUACUCCUUACCGACCGAUAGUGAACAAGUACCGUGAGGGAAUGAUGAAAAGAACCCCGAUGAGGGGAGUGAAACAGAUCCUGAAACCGGAUGCCUACAAGCUGAUGGAGCUCUUCGGAGUGACAUCGUACCUUUUGUAUAAUGGGUCAGCGACUUAGUGUUGCGUGCAAGCUUAAGCCGAUAGGUGUAGGCACAGCGAAAGCGAGUCUUAAUAGGGCGACUGAGUUCGAGGGAUGAGACCCGAAGCCGGGUGAUCUAGCCAUGAGCAGGUUGAAGGUGCAGUAACAUGCACUGGAGGACCGAACCCACGUCUGUUGAAAAAGACGGGGAUGACUUGUGGCUAGGGGUGAAAGGCCAAUCAAACUCGGAAAUAGCUGGUUCUCCGCGAAAUCUAUUUAGGUAGAGCGUCUCGUGAAUACCCAUGGGGGUAGAGCACUGGAUGGGCUAGGGGGUCCCAACGACUUACCAAACCUAACCAAACUCCGAAUACCAUGGAGUACUGCGAGGCAGACACACUGCGGGUGCUAAGGUCCGUAGUGAAGAGGGAAACAGCCCUGACCGCCAGCUAAGGUCCCUAAGUUAUCACUAAGUGGGAAACGAUGUGGGAGUGCUUAGACAACCAGGAGGUUGGCUUAGAAGCAGCCAUCCUUUAAAGA